rnacentral:rRNA from 1 species
UUUUUUUUCUCCCCCCGCGGUACACAUAUCAAUAACGCGGAGGAAAAGAAACCAACAGGGAUUGCCUUAGUAGCGGCGAGUGAAGCGGCAAAAGCUCAAAUUUGAAAUCUGGCUCUUUCAGAGUCCGAGUUGUAAUUUGAAGAAGGUAUCUUUGGGUCUGGCUCUUGUCUAUGUUUCUUGGAACAGAACGUCACAGAGGGUGAGAAUCCCGUGCGAUGAGAUGAUCCAGGCCUAUGUAAAGUUCCUUCGAAGAGUCGAGUUGUUUGGGAAUGCAGCUCUAAGUGGGUGGUAAAUUCCAUCUAAAGCUAAAUAUUGGCGAGAGACCGAUAGCGAACAAGUACAGUGAUGGAAAGAUGAAAAGAACUUUGAAAAGAGAGUGAAAAAGUACGUGAAAUUGUUGAAAGGGAAGGGCUUGAGAUUCAGACUUGGUAUUUUGUAUGUUACUUCUUCGGGGGUGGCCUCUACAGUUUAUCGGGCCAGCAUCAGUUUGGGCGGUAGGAGAAUUGCGUUGGAAUGUGGCACGGCUUCGGUUGUGUGUUAUAGCCUUCGUCGAUACUGCCAGCCUAGACUGAGGACUGCGGUUUAUACCUAGGAUGUUGGCAUAUUACGGUGAUCUUAAGUCGCCCGUUCCACCAAGGACACACACACA